CACUUCUAAGGAAGGCAGCAGGCGCGCAAAUUACCCAAUCCUGACUCAGGGAGGUAGUGACAAGAAAUAACAAUAAACCGGCUUAUGCCGGUUUAAUUGGAAUGAGUACAAUUUAAACAUCUUAACGAGGAACAAUUGGAGGGCAAGUCUGGUGCCAGCAGCCGCGGUAAUUCCAGCUCCAAUAGCGUAUACUAAAGUUGUUGCAGUUAAAAAGCUCGUAGUUGGAUUUCUGUGGGGACGGAGCGGCCGGCCGCACAUCGCGGUUCGAGCUAGCGCUUUCCCUACAUCCUGCCGCGAACCGUGCUACCAUUAGUUUGGUGGCGCCGGGGAUCGGCUCGAUUACUUUGAGAAAAAUAGAGUGUUCAAAGCAGGCCACAUGCCUUGAAUAAGCUAGCAUGGAAUAAUAACUAAGGACUUCGGUUCUAUUUUGUUGGUGUUCGGGACUGAAGUAAUGAUUAAUAGGGACAGUUGGGGCGGUCUGUAUUCCAAAGCGAGAGGUGAAAUUCUUAGACCUUCGGAAGACAAACAGCUGCGAAAGCGUUCCGCAAGGAUGUUCCCUUUGAUCAAGAACGAAAGUUGGGGGAUCGAAGACGAUCAGAUACCGUCGUAGUCUCAACUAUAAACUAUACCAGCUAGGGAUCGGCCAACGUUAUUUCAUACCGACUUGGUCGGCACCUUAUGAGAAAUCAAAGCAUCUGGGUUCCGGGGGGAGUAUGGUCGCAAGGCUGAAACUUAAAGGAAUUGACGGAAGGGCACCGCCAGCCGUGGAGCCUGUGGCUUAAUUUGACUCAACACGGGAAAACUUACCAGGUCCAGACAUAGUAAGGAUUGACAGAUUGAUAGCUCUUUCUUGAUUCUGUGGGUGGUGGUGCAUGGCCGUUCUUAGUUGGUGGAGUGAUUUGUCUGGUUAAUUCCGUUAACGAACGAGACCCCAGCCUGCUAAAUAGCGCGCGUGAGCUUUGCUCGCGGCGAGCUUCUUAGAGGGACUCUGAUGCGCGAUAGCACAUGGAAGUUUGGGGCAAUAACAGGUCUGUGAUGCCCUUAGAUGUUCUGGGCCGCACACGGGCUACACUGGCGCCUGCAACGAGCAUAUCAGCUGGCCCGAGAGGGUCUUGGCUAAUCUUUUGAACCGGCGCCGUGCUUGGGAUUGACCUUUGCAAUUGUUGGUCAUGCAACGAGGAAUGCCUUGUAAACGCGAGUCAUCAGCUCGCAUUGAAUACGUCCCUGCCCUUUGUACACACCGCCCGUCGCUCCUACCGAUGAAUGUUCCGAUGAAAUUUUCGGAGAGCACCUGUGAACUUGGCUCUGCCUUGCGAACGGGAGGCUCAAAGUCACUUAAAUCUGAACAUUUCGAGG
rnacentral:rRNA from 1 species